AGGGCAGGGGUAAGGCUUGUCUACAUAUUACCCUCCCCAGACUCCCACCUGGUGGGAAUAUACUGGGUAGUUGUUGUUGUUGUUGUUGUUGUUUUGAGGGGAAGGGUGGCAUGUUCAUUGUGUAGCUACUAUUUGCAGACUUUUGCAUUGUUAUUCAGCAAUAAGCUAUUUUCAUUCUCUUUUCUGGUAACUUGUUCUUCUAAUGAGAUGGUGUCAUCAUGUAAUGUCUUUUAGAUAAUAAACUUUGUUGAGCCAUAAAUUCGAGAACAUUUCAAGCCCCAAAUCCUAUUUCAAUGGAACAUGAUGCAGAUAGGAAUUCCGACUUGUUGGUUGUGUUCUUUUGGGUAGUUUUUGUUCAUCUAUAACUCUGGUGUGUUCAUGUUCCAGUAGUUUGUAUUACUUAAAACUUUUGAUUUAUAGCUCUGAAUUUGCAGCUGGUUUGUUUUGUUCACAGGAGCAUUAGCUUUUAUGGAUAUGGAACAAAAAAUACUAUGAUAUGCCCACAGAGUAUAGCAUAUGAAUGAUUCCAACUUGNNN
rnacentral:lncRNA from 1 species